UAUGACGCAGCUGUGGAGGUUGACGCCUUGUGUGCGAAUCCACUUCGCAGGGAAUAUUUUUGUUUCGACCUUUCACAGAAGUGGCAGUUAUUGUGCACAAAUCUUUGUACUCAUGAAGCCAGUGUUAUGUCUAAUGGGCUGUGGAUAUGGGUUUGUGCCGUAACUGAGAUGUGAUGACAACUACUGGGAAUCAUGGAUUGUGAUAGUGUGGCCAUUGAAGUUGAAACUUUGCUCCAAUAAAAGACUGUUGCAGCUGAUGGCUUUUCCUUGAUCUCCCAGUAC